UACGUAGGUGGCAAGCGUUGUCCGGAUUUACUGGGCGUAAAGAGCGCGCAGGCGGUCGUUCAAGUCGCGUGUGAAAGCCCCCGGCUCAACUGGGGAGGGUCACGCGAUACUGAUCGACUCGAAGGCAGGAGAGGGAAGUGGAAUUCCCGGUGUAGUGGUGAAAUGCGUAGAUAUCGGGAGGAACACCAGUGGCGAAGGCGGCUCGCUGGACCGGUUCUGACGCUGAGGCGCGAAAAGCGUGGGGAGCAAACAGG
rnacentral:rRNA from 1 species